rnacentral:rRNA from 1 species
CACUCCUGCGGGAGGCAGCAGUGAGGAAUAUUGGACCAUGGGUGGAAGCCUGAUCCAGCCAUCCCGCGUGCAGGAAGACGGCCCUAUGGGUUGUAAACUGCUUUUAUCUGGGGAUAAACCUACUUACGUGUAAGUAGCUGAAGGUACCAGAAGAAUAAGCACCGGCUAACUCCGUGCCAGCAGCCGCGGUAAUACGGAGGGUGCAAGCGUUAUCCGGAUUUAUUGGGUUUAAAGGGUCCGUAGGCGGACUGAUAAGUCAGUGGUGAAAUCCGACAGCUUAACUGUCGAACUGCCAUUGAUACUGUUAGUCUUGAGUAAGGUUGAAGUGGCUGGAAUAAGUAGUGUAGCGGUGAAAUGCAUAGAUAUUACUUAGAACACCAAUUGCGAAGGCAGGUCACUAAGUCUUAACUGACGCUGAUGGACGAAAGCGUGGGGAGCGAACAGGAUUAGAAACCCGGGUAGUCCC